GACGAACGCUGGCGGCGUGCCUAAUACAUGCAAGUAGAACGCUGAAGGAGGAGCUUGCUUCUCUGGAUGAGUUGCGAACGGGUGAGUAACGCGUAGGUAACCUGCCUGGUAGCGGGGGAUAACUAUUGGAAACGAUAGCUAAUACCGCAUAAUAGUAGAUGUUGCAUGACAUUUGCUUAAAAGGUGCAAUUGCAUCACUACCAGAUGGACCUGCGUUGUAUUAGCUAGUUGGUGGGGUAACGGCUCACCAAGGCGACGAUACAUAGCCGACCUGAGAGGGUGAUCGGCCACACUGGGACUUAGACACGGCCCAGAGUCCUACGGGAGGCAGCAGUAGGGAAUCUUCGGCAAUGGACGGAAGUCUGACCGAGCAACGCCGCGUGAGUGAAGAAGGUUUUCGGAUCGGAAAGCUCUGUUGUAAGAGAAGAACGAGUGUGAGAGUGGAAAGUUCACACUGUGACGGUAUCUUACCAGAAAGGGACGGCUAACUACGUG
rnacentral:rRNA from 1 species